rnacentral:misc_RNA from 1 species
GAUGAAGAACGUAGCGAAAUGCGAUAAGUAAUGUGAAUUGCAGAAUUCAGUGAAUCAUCCAAUCUUUGAACGCACAUUGCGCCCGGUAGUAUUCUGCCGGGCAUGCCUGUUCGAGCGUCAUUUCAACCAUCAAGCCCCAGCGCUUGUGUUGGGGGCCUGCGGCUGCCGCAGCCCCCUAAAAGCAGUGGCGGGCUCGCUAUCACACCGAGUGCAGUAGUUCAUCUUCUCUCCGGUCUUGUGAGGCGGGUUCCGGCCGUGAAACACCCCACUACAUUCAAGGUUGACCUCGGAUCAGGUAGGAAUACCCGCUGAACUUAAGCAUAUCAAUAAGCGGAGGA